AUCUCAAAGUUCAUUAUGAAUCUCCAAUAAUGCCGGAACUUCUUUAAUCAAAGGGGCCUCUCUUCUGGCUGCUAGUGUAAUGGAUUUACAUCCAGAAAGCGUGCUCUAUGAAUAUGCAUGGCUAUUUUACCUGUAGGCAGCAGAGGGCGAUCUUGCCCUCCUUAUGCAAGUGGACAUACAUUUGACAAGGUUGAGAUAAAAUCAGCUAAAAUAACCUUAGCUCAUUGCCCCUUCUGUACAAAGACAGAAGCAAAUUCUUUCACACAGCUUCAGAACACUUCUCUCUUGAUAAAACACGAGGCAGAGGAUACUUGCUUCCUUGACUAGUUGGUUCACAAAGUGAUGGACACAAGUGGCUCUUUCACCUACUAGAUAACUUGUCCCCUUAGUCGGGGAGUGGGGAGUGAAGACAGCUGAGGAGAGGGACCUGGGGGCUGAAUCUAAAUAGGAGCAGGGAAUUAACAUCCCUUCCUAGCAACUGUUUGGUUCCUAUUCCUAUUCUGAGAUAGUCUGGCCCCUGAGAAUGCCCACAUAGGUAAGAGAGAAUGCACACUUGUGGAUUUUGGCUGCAAAGAUCAAAGCUUCAGCCUAGGUCUGUUCUCUGAAAUAUAAGUAGGAUGCUGAUUUUUUUCUGUAGCCACAGUUUUCAAAAGUGUCUGCUGCUUGGAACCUUAAUUGUCUGCAAUUGGCUGUAUAAACACAGGCCCAAGGUCCUGGUUUAUGUGAUCUGGAAUGACUACAUUCAGUACACCAAGUCUCAGCACCUGCUCAUGCACUGAUGGGAGAAACGGCAUGUAUGUGAUAAAAUCUCCAUCUGUGGCUGAUCCUGGGCAAUCUCUAAGCUGGACAUGGGCAGAGGGUAGCCACUGAAGGGCAAGGCUAGGGAUCUGGGCUCCAAAUUCCAACUAGAAGUGGUCCAAUCCCUUCCCCUCUGUGGGCUUCAGUUUCAUUUCCUGCAUUAAAAUGAGGCGGAAUUGAGUUUUAUGUUAAACAUACAGAAGGAAUACUUUUUACUACCAAUAUGCUUGUGUUUAAAAAAAAAAAACUCAGCAAAGUCGAUAUGAUAUUUCAGUUAAAGAUUAAAUAUUUGUAGAUGGCAGGAUGGACCAUUACUGUCCUCUCUCAAGAUUCUUAGUAGAGGAGUUCCCACUGUGGCACAAUAGGAUAGGUGGUGUCUCUGGGGCGCUGGGACUCAGGUUCAACCCCUGGCCAGGCAUGAUGAGUUAAAGGGUCUGGCAUUGCCACAGCUGCGGCUUAGAUCGAAACUGUGGUUUGGAUGUGAUCACGGCCUGGGAACUCCAUAUGCUGCGGGGAGGCCAAAAAGGAAGAGAAGAAAAGAAAAGAUUCUUAGUAGAAAACAACAGCACUGCCUCUAGUUCAAGUGGAGAGGAGUUCAUUAAAAGAUACUAGGUGCUUCCCAGAACCUCUGGGAGGGGAUUGGGGUCCGAAGUGGAAACUGUAGGAAGGAACAGCCCCAGAGGGCAGUGCCAGACAGAAUCUGGGUGGAGUCCUUUCAGAAGCUUCCCGAUAGCACACAGGCAGCUCACUGCUCCUGCUCUGGGAAGGGCUCUGCCCUCGCAUCUCCACCAGGGCUGCCUAGUAAAGCUGGGCAUCUCUCUGCCAUCAUCCAUUCUCCUCUCUUGAUCAGCUGGAUUCUUGGGGUGCCUGCCUCCUUCUUCCCAGGGAAAAUCUUGCUCCUUAGGCUUGAGUUUCAAGGGAGGUUGGUGGAAGGCUUUGCCUCUGGAAGGUAA
rnacentral:lncRNA from 1 species